GCGGCAGUGGUGUAACGGCAGCACAGAGGACUGUGGCUCCUCCGGCGCGGGUUCAAUAUUCAAUUGGAAAUUCCAAUGAGAUGAAAAUCCCGCCUGCCGCC
rnacentral:tRNA from 1 species